rnacentral:rRNA from 1 species
CCCUUUGUUGUCCGACUCUGUUGCCUCCGGGGCGACCCUGCCUUCGGGCGGGGGCUCCGGGUGGACACUUCAAACUCUUGCGUAACUUUGCAGUCUGAGUAAACUUAAUUAAUAAAUUAAAACUUUUAACAACGGAUCUCUUGGUUCUGGCAUCGAUGAAGAACGCAGCGAAAUGCGAUAAGUAAUGUGAAUUGCAGAAUUCAGUGAAUCAUCGAAUCUUUGAACGCACAUUGCGCCCCCUGGUAUUCCGGGGGGCAUGCCUGUUCGAGCGUCAUUUCACCACUCAAGCCUCGCUUGGUAUUGGGCAACGCGGUCCGCCGCGUGCCUCAAAUCGACCGGCUGGGUCUUCUGUCCCCUAAGCGUUGUGGAAACUAUUCGCUAAAGGGUGCUCGGGAGGCUACGCCGUAAAACAACCCCAUUUCUAAGGUUGACCUCGGAUCAGGUAGGG